rnacentral:tRNA from 1 species
UCCCUUGUAGCUCAGUCGGUAAAGAAUCUGCCUGUGAUGCAGAAGACCCGGGUUCAAUCCCUGGGUUGGGAA